UCGCUGCCGCGCGCACAGCGUUCUGAGGGGCGGGGCUAGGCUGCGCGCGCGCGGCGGCGACAAAACUCCGGAUGAGCUGGGAGCAUCAUGAAUCCAGAACUCUAACACAAAUAACAGAGGCACACAACAGGCUGAUCCAUAAUGCAGAAGAACACAACUCAACACACCUGACUCUAAAAUGGCUCUUUGCAGACUGACUGCACAAGACCCAGAUUGCAUGCUUCCCUUCAGAGCCUCAGCCUGAGACACAUUUGCUUUCUGAUUCCCUGGAUAAGUAUUCCAAGUCACGGUCAGUGCUAGAAUAGCUCUUCUGUCAAAGCUUGGAACAGCUGCCUCAAAUGAUACAAGAGAUGCAUGCUCACCAAAAGCCAAGAACCCACUAAAAGUGGGCACUGAAACAGUGUUAAAAUAUUUCACUGUUUUGCUCCUGGUAAUGUCUUUGUUGCCUGUAUUUUCAUAGUGUGAUAUUGUGCAAUUUCCAGAUUUUGAAAGUUGUGUUUUGUGAGGACUCUGGCUUGGUAACUGGCUAUUUUUAUUCUAGAAAAUUGAGUGGUGUGCUCCUUCAUCAGUAGAGAUGAAAAGAGAGACCAUUACAUUACUCAUGUGAGUUUUUCUUUUCUCCUUCAGCCGUGUACAGUGCUCUGCUCUUGCACAGCUCUUCUUCAAAGUCUCUAUUUUUAAAUCCAGUUCAUGAAGUUCUUAUGGAUUUCUUUAUAAAUGCUGCAUUAACAAUCCAGCCACCAUAACAAACAGGACACCAAUAGAUAAUGGCAAGAGAACACAGAGCUAGUAUAAGCUCCAUAUAAUAAAAAGUUAUUCAGAAUAAAAAUGGUGAAUCACACUGUUGGUUGAAAUCUCCUGUAGCAAUGAAUUAUUCAACAUAUAAAUGGUGGGAGUUUCACUACCACAGCAUCACUAGACAUUUGAUAGAACUGAGAAAAUCACUAUUUAAAUACAGGGAACAUAGAAGCUUUGCAAGCCCCCUGUAACAAUGGGAAAUUCUUCAUUUAAAUUAUGAAAUUAGCACAAGCCUGAGACUUUCCUGUGGAUUUCUGUAUGUAAAGCUGCAAUUUGCAUACCUAUGAAUAUGUACAAUAUAAAUUACUGCAUAUAAAUAAAGAUCCGUAUAGCUGUCUCA